rnacentral:pre_miRNA from 1 species
UGUGUACUCCCUCCGUUCCAAAAUACUUGACUUCCAUUUGUCCAAAAAUGGAUGUACCUAUAUACUAAAACAUGUCUAGAUACAUAUAUAUUUUGACAAAUAGAAGGCAUGUAUUGUGCAACGGACGGAGUAGAAU